rnacentral:lncRNA from 1 species
CCGCUGAGAUAUCACUUUUUCAUAUUACCUUUAAACUAAAGAAAGUUUACUUAAAUCCACUGUCCUGGAGUGAAUUUUGUGACUUUAACUUUAAAAAGUUUAAAUUAACAUUUUCUCAUAUUCUUCAUAGUCCAAUACAUUUUUAAGCCAGAAUUAAAUAUUCACAGACUGUGAUGGUAGAUUUUAUUAAUAAACUCUCCCCCAUUGAUAUCAGAACUAGUCCCCUAAAAUAUUACAUCCGAAUAUGGUCCCUAAGAGUCCCCCAAAAGUCCCAUCUGGGGUGCCAUAUGAUAUCACAGUGUGCUUAUUAAUAAAUUCCCAAUAUGAAUAAACCAGUGUGGGUUCUUGCCUAAUAUUCAGAGAAUUCUGAAUACUGGGGUAGAUAAAUGAGGCAGCAUGAUUCAUUUUUAAGCUUUUAUUCAGUGAGAGAAGUGCAUAGGAGACUGAGAGCUUUACCUAUAGGAGAGAGGUAAAUCUGGGUUUAUACUGAGUACCAGGAACCAGCCAGUGGAGGAGCAUCUAGGCCAGGAAGCGUGGGGCGGGUGGCCUGAAAAAGCCAAGGAAAGGAGAGGGCGGGCAUACUGUGUCCUUGGCUAAUCCACUUGCAAAGGGGCGUGGUUAAUCAACCUGAUUGGCCGGUGGGUGUACAGGUGCGGCCAGGUAAGGGCGUGCAGUCACACAGGGGCGUGGUCCUCCAGCUCACAAACCUAAUCCAUUUUAUUCUAUAUGCCGGCCUACCACACGACAUCACCCAAGAACUCCCUCUCACCUGCCUGGGCCGGUGCGAGCCGGCAGGCCCCGGGUCGGGUUGAAAGGCGGCGGGUUGGCGCCGGUCCCCGCGCGCCCUGCGCACACCGGACAGGAGUCAUUUUUCAGAGCUGGGGUCUCGGCGCCUGGGGGUCGGAGCGCCGAGCCAAGAAUCAAAAGAAAGGCGAAUUAUACAGCUUUCUGAUCUCGGACUCCGGUUGCUACGGGAGACCCGGUUAUCCUCAUCAGUGUUACCAAACGGGUCCCCUCGCAGGGCUGUGGCACCCGACACCGGCCCCUCCCCGCCCCCCGGGACCCCGCCCCGCUGGCCCCUCGGAGCCCACAGUGGCCGCGGGCGCCUGCGCAGUCGCCACCGAGCCCGGCCUUCUCCGGAGUCCUGGCGCGGCUGACUGGACCGCCGGGCCGCCCUCGGAAUCUGCCCUCCUUUCUGUGGAUUCUGCUUCUCCAGUAAAUGAACCCCCGGGAAAAUGA